GGAAGGAGGAGGUGGGCGGAGAGGGGGCGGAGCUGGGGGUGUCGAGAAAUGGAGUGUGUGGGAACGAAGAGGACCGGGCGAGGUUUGGGGUUGGGCGGGCCUGAGGCUCGGGUGAUGCCCGCUCUCGGAACUCGCCAGGGCGAGGCCUGGAGACUCCGAGGUCAUCGGUUCCCACCCCAUCCAGAGAGCAGUCGUCAUGGGGGUCGGCGGUUGAGGUCUGUCCCCUGAUGCUGAGUGCUACGGGAAUAGUGGACCCGCGGAAGCACCGAAAUUGUUCAUCCCUGAAUUUUCGCUUAGUCCUCCCUUCAGUCCUUCCUCCUUUUGUGGAUUGAAAAGGCCACGUGAAGUGCCGGAAUCGAACCUGCGCAGGUCUUUCACAAAGCCUGUAUCUAGGAUCUCUUCAUGGAGAUCCCCCCUUCCCAGGGCUCUUAGAGGGAGCUUCAGAGAAGGAAACCCUCCACGGCCCCACCCCCGUGACUGCUCUCGCCAUGAUCGGCGUUCACCUCCUCCCCAGGCCGCUGACUCUUAAACCCGGUUCUGCAAAAUGCCUCUCACCUCCACUCCUUUCCUUUCAUUCAUUCUUUCUACAAAUAUUUACUGAGCAGGCUUUAUGCUUAGUGCUGGAGACACAGCAAGUGCGAGACAGACGGGCUCUGCUGUCUUGGAGUUUACAGUCUGGUAGGAGAACAAAAGCCAAAUGCAGUUAUGAUUCGGAGACUGCGGUGGUGGCCAGCAGAGCCCAGGGCUGGAAGUCAGGAGCCCGUCCUAGUCCCGAUCCUGUGGACUGACCCCUCGUGUCGCUGUGGAUAAGACCAGGUCACACGUGCCCAACUUCAGCAUAACAGAGCAGAAGUUUUUAAUUUUAAUGAAGUCCAGCUUAUCAAUUCUUUCUUUCAUGGAUCGUGCCUUUGGUAUUGUAUCUAAAAAGUCAUCACCAUACCCAAGGUUUUCUCCUGUUAUCUUCUAGGAGUUUGGGGCUUAGGAGCUGAUGUCUUCUCUAAGAGGUGGAAUGGCAUUUAGCAAGCUCACAGGACUGAUGGGGGAAAUCGGAAUGUCAAUGUAUUCACUGAUAACAAGAAAUAUAAUUGUUAAGCAGACUGGAAUAUUCUCAUCAGCAUGACCAGCACAUUCUUUCCCGAAGGCAGAUCUAAGUGAAAAGACAAAUUAUACAAAGAAGGUGGCUUGCAAUAAUAAGAAUUGAGGCAGGAAAUUAUUUUCACCAUACGAAUAAAGAAACUGAGACUUGAAUAAUUAAAGCCUUGUCCACAAUCACUCAUGAUAAGAGAGGAAGAACUCUCUUGGUUAUUCGAGAACUACUUGCGCUUCCAGGACCGUCUGUCUGUGGGGGGCACAUCCUGGAGUUCAGCUGGACUGAGAAGCCUUCAUCCUCUCAGCUAUGUUUCCUGAAAGCUUGUAACCGUAUAUAACUGGAAAUCUUAGCGAUUUAUGGGGAUUCCGGUUCCAGUGCUGGUGACCAAUAUGCCAAAUCCUAACUGAGAUCUACUCAAUUGAACUGUCACAUCCUGGAGCAGGAAUCUGGCCUCUCCUAGGCUCCUUUCUUUGUUUCCAUUCUGAUUCCUUUGUGAAGGAAAUGGCAGCAAGAAGCCAGUUCCUCUCACUGACCCCAAAGGCAGCAACUCACCACUAGGUGUCUCCGCGGGCACCAUGUGCUGCAGUGGGCGGAUGGAGAGCCCUUCACACACAGGUUGACUUCUUCAUCCUGUCUGGCUGCCAGGAACUGGAGGAAAAUGAGCGAAGGUGGACUUCCUGAGGUCACUCCCAGGGUUUAUUUAACCUCUGGGCUCCCAAAGCUCGGAUCAGCUACAUCAGGAUCACCUGAGGAGCUUCUCAAAAGCAGUGAUGCCAAGGUUUCGCUCCCCGAGUGGUGGAUGUCAACCUUGGCUGCACAUUAGAAUCAGCAGGGAAGCUUGUUUAAAAAAAUGGCAGAGUAGAUGUGUUAUGGAGUGAAUGUUUACGUCCUCCCAAAACUCACGUGUUACCUUACCCCCAUCCAUGCAACGGUAUUAGGAGGUGGGGCCUUUGGGAGGUAAUUAGGAUUAGACGACAUCGUGAGGGUGGAGCCCUCAUGAACGGGCUUAGUGCCCUUAUAAGAGUCACAAGAAAGUGUGCUUCCUUUUUCUGCUCUCUGCCACGUGAGGAUACAAUGAGAAGUCGGCGGUCUGCAAUCUGGAAGAGGGCUUGCACCAGAACCUGACCAUGCUGGCACCCUGAUCUUAAACUUUCCAGCCUCUAGAACUGUGAGAAAUAAAUUUCCGUUGUUUAUAAGUCACUUAGUCCAUGGCGUUUCUGUUGUAGCAGCCUGAACUCUGCUACAACAAGGUGCUCCAAGCUCCUCCAUAGAAACAUUGAAAAGACAAGCAGAGCCUGUCAGAACCAAUUUUGUCAGAACUCUGGAAAACCAUCUAGGUUUACAGCACUCAAGUGAAUGCUGAAUCAAGAAAAAAGCAACUUAAAUGUGGCUGUGUGCAAGCAGGAAGUGCAGUCUAAUGCAGAGCUGUAAAGAGCUGGAUUAAGUGUUGAAGGAGCGCCCAGCACAGAGCCGGUGUGCAAAUACUGGGAGGUGUAUUUUUUUAUGUUUGUUUGUUUUAUUUUUGGUUCCUGAUGUUCAAGGAAAUCUCUGUCAAACCACUAGCUGAACAUGAACUAAAGGAACAGAGACUUCAUAUGACUUCAGUGACUUCAUAUGACGAGGAAUACAGUCUUUGUAAAAUAGUUUGGAAAAAUCACUAAACAAAUGGAUGACUGCAGCCUUCAAUAAUCAAGUUCAGCAAAUGCUGGGGAAGGAGAGAAUCUCAUUUCCAGUUGCCUCAUUAUAAUGUUCACAUGCCCAAUCCUCAGGAAAAAAAAUCACGAGGUGUACAAAGAAACAGGAAAGUAUGGUCCAGUCAAAGAAACAAAAUAAAUUGACAGAAACUAUCCCCGAGGAAGCCCUAACGUUGGACUUGCUAGCCAAAGGCUUUCAAUCAAGUGUCUUAAAUAUGCUCAAAGAACCAAAGGAAAUCACGGACAAAGAGCGAAAACAGAAAAACAAUAUAUGAACAAAAUGAGAAUAUCAACAUCCUAUCAAGAGAUAGUCUAUCAAAAGAGAGAGAAAUGAUAAAAAAGGAACUAAGUAGAAAUUCUGGAGCUGAAAAGUAUAAUAACUGAAAUGAAAAAUCUGAUGCCCAGGCCUCGCUCCAGUCUAAUUACAUGGAAAUUCCCAGGGCUGGGGCUCCACCAUCAGUAGUUUCCAAAGCCGUCAAGGUUGAGAACCACUGUCCCAGGGAGUCUGUUUCAGGAGGUCCAGGGCUGUGAAUCUCAACCAUGCAGGCACAUUCGCAUCACCUGAAGAGCUUUAAAAAAAAUACUGAUGUCUAGAUUCUUUCCCAGAUUGGUGAGAAUCUCUGAGGGGAGGCACUGGGUAUUGGCAUUUUGAACAAUCUUCCCUGACAGUUCUGAUGACCGUCAAGUCUAGAAACCAUGGAGAACCCCACAUUGUCCAACUGUCAUAUCUGCGAAAGCCCGUAGUAAACUGAAGUAUCAUCAAGACCCCCAAUAUCUAAAACAUGUUAAUAACAAUUGUUUAUUCUAAAAUCCGUUGUUGAUUCCAAUUGAGAUUGGAAUCAUUCAUUCAUGCAUGCAUUCAUUUAUAUUAAUAAAAAUAUUUAUUGAGGGCUCUGCUACAUGCCAGGCCCUGGGAAUACAGCAGUGCACAGACACAGCCCCUGCUCUCACAAAGCUUUCAUUCUAGCACAGAAGCCAUAAAUAAACACAAGAUUAUUUAAGUAUGCUAAGCAAUAAGAAAAUUAAAGUGAGACAAAAAGAUAGAGGAGGACGAGAGCUGCGGUUUUGAAUAGAGUGCUCAGGGUGCCCCUGACUAGCUGACAUUUGAGAAGUGGCCUGAACGAAAUGAGGGAGUGAGCGGGGUGCUGGUGGCUAUCUGAGGAAGAGCUGUCGGUUGAACAAAAACAUUUGAAAUCUUGGCUUGAGGAUGACAGUCACAUCCUCACAUUGGCCAGUUUCUUUCUUCUGUUUUGGGUGCCUCUCUCAGCUGAGUCCCAUUAACCUGGCUCCUCUACUCCCACUAGCUGUGUGAAUUUUGGGCAAACCACAUCAUCCCUAAGAGUCGUAAUAUCUUCAUCUGUAAAAUGCACAUAGUAAGCAUAAUAAGACCUCCCUCCCUGUAGGGUUGCUGAGAAGGGAAAACAAAAUAGGGAAGCGUAGUGCGAUGGUUAACAGCAUGGGUGCUGGAGGCAGACAGCCUGCUUCAGAGUCUGGUGCUGCCAUUUUCUAGCCGUAGAACCUUGGGCAAAUUGCUUAGCCUCUCUGAGCCCUUGGCUUGUGUGGCCGGCACAAUAAUGGCUCCCCCAAAAUGUCUAUGUCCUAAUCCCGAACCUGUGAGUAUGCUGGGUUCCAUGGCAAGAGGGAAUAAGGUUGCUAAACAGCUGACUUUAAGAUAGGGGGAGUAGCCUGUGUUUUUCAGGUGAGCCCAAUAUCAUCAUAAGGGCCCUUAAAAGUGCAAGAGGGACGGAGAAGAGGAGAUGCAGAGGGAUGUGCCAACAAAGAAUGGUCGGAGUGAUAUGGUGUGAUAAGGACUUGACUCAUUUUCCUGGCUUUGUAUAUGAAGGAGGCCACAAGCCAAGGAAUGCAGGUGGUCCCUAGAAACUGGAAAAGUCAAGGAAAUGGAUUUUCCCCUAGACCACCAGAAAGGAAUGGGGCCCUGCGGACACCUUGAUUUUAUUUCAAUGAGGCCUGUGUAGGACUUCUCACCUCCAGAACUGUAAGACAACAAAUUUGUAUUGUUUAAGCCUCUAAGUUGGUGGUAAUUUGUUACAGCAGUAAUAAGAAACUAAUACAGCUUGUCAUCUGAAAAGGGACAAAAUAAUAGUAUCUACCACAUAGGUUUGUAGGGAGAGUUAUAUGAAUUCACAGCGGUGCCAGGUACAUGAUAAGUUUUGGGGGUAUAUAGAAUAAUGGACCACAAAAAAUGUCCACAUUCUAAUCUCCAGAACCGUGAAUGUUACCUUUCAUGGCAAAAGGGACUUUGCAGACGUCUAAAAGCUAAAAGUUAAGGAUCUUGAGAUGGGAAGAAUAGCCGGGAUGGUCCGGGUGGGCUCAAUAUGAUCACAGGUCCCAUAAGUGAAAAAGGGAGGCAUGAGAGUUAAAAUCUGGAAGGGAGCUGUGACGAUGAAAGCAGAGGCCAGAGAGAGAGAUCUGGAGAUGCUACGCUGCUGGCUUUGAAGAUGGAGGAAGGGGCCAUGAGCCAAGGAAUGUAGGCAGCCUCUAGAAGCUGGAAAGACAAGGAAACGAUUCUCCCCUGGAGCCUCCAAAAGGAGCAGAGCCCUCUGACACCUUGAUUUUAGGACUUCUGACCUUCAGGACUGUCAGAGAAGACAUUUGUCUUGUUUCAAGGCACUGCAUUUGCGUUAAUGUGUUACAGCAGCGAUAGGAAACUAACACAGAGCUCGAUACAGGUUAGCUCUUGCCAUUAGGUCUGGCCUUCAGCAUUAUGUCAGACACAUGUUAAUGUGCUUGAUAAACACCAAUCACGAUAAUAGUAAAGACUAGAAUUCCCCAGAAGGGCACGCUAGGAUGACUCUACCUUUCUGCUUGACUUUUGGCAUUCUAAGCAUCUGAAAGCACUUUGUUCACAGUUAAAAAAAAAAAAAAUUCUACUUUGUUACACUAUUUAGGCCUAAUUUCACACUUUGGUGAAAGUUAACAAUUUUCUAACAGGGAGAGGCAGUGGUGAAAUGGAACACACCCCAGGGUGGAAGUCAGAAAGGCCGGGUCCUGGUCCCGGCUCUGCCUCUAUCUGGCUGUGCGACUUAGGUUAUCCUGCUUCCCCUCUUUGGGCUUCAUUUUCACAUUUAGAAAACAAAGGAAUUAAACCAAUAAUAACUCCCAUUAUUGGAUACCUACGAGGUACAAUUUAUGCAUAAAGUCUCGUUUGAGCUGCACAGAAAUUGUGCAAAGUAUCAUACCCAUUUUAUAGUUGAGAAAAUCAGGAAGCCCAGAGAGGUUAAGUGACUUGCCCAGGGUCACAGAGUCGGUAUUUGGCAGAGCUGGGGUUUAAACCCAGGGCUGUUUGACUCCUUUUUGACAAGCCCUUCCACAUUUCACACAUUUCGGAAGUCAAUGCCAUCUUUAAAGGAUGUAUUUACAUUGCUCCUGGUUUUCUCUGUAGGUCAUAGUGAGGGUGAUGGAGGGGCUGUGAACAGCCCUAAGACCAUUCCCUGGGCCUCUCUAACUUUCCACAUUAGGGCUCUAGAAAUUGGUGGAUCUCUUGUGUUUCUGAGAACCUCGACUUGGCCCCUCAGAGGCUUCUCUCACGAUGAUCCCUUCCCUUUCUCACCUUCCGCAACAGACGCUACUAAUUGCUUAACCAAUGCCUGUUCUUUCCUUCUUACUCAGAAUCCCAAUUUCAUUUGGAUAAAAAUGUGCCCGGUUAAAAAUGCCUCCCCACGGUCGCUUACAGCUGGAGGUGGUCCCCUGACCCAGUUCUGACCAAUGAGAGUAAGGGGAAAUUUGGAUGGGGCUUCCGGGGAAUCUGUUGUCUUCCUCAUACAAAGGGGUGGGGAACUCAGCCGGCACAUGCCUUUUCCUCUUUGCCUUUGCUUUCAUUUCUGCCUGGAAGGUAGGCGAGAGUUCUGGAAGUGGAACAGCUAUUUUGUGACUAUGAGGAUGAGUGCCACCUGCUAAGGGUAGCGAGCAGGAAGAUAGACGGAGCUUCGAUUCUUUAUGAUUUCUCCGUAAUUUCAGUUCUCUGUACCAGCCUGGACUGCCUGCUUUUAGAUUUCUUGUUAUGUAAAAAAAGUAAUAAAGCUUUAUUUGGUCGGAAUUUUAUGUGCAACUCAAUGCAAUCCUGUGUUCUCUAAGAACAGUCUCUUCUCUGCCCUGUCGCCCUAACGUGUGGCCUUGAUAAGCAC
ensembl:lncRNA